ACCCGAAACCAGUUCAGUCAGUCUCAGACUCGCAGCCUCUCUCAGCUCCACCAUUUCCGAACUCUCCAAAAUUCUCCGAUAACCAAAUCAUAAAAUCAACAUAAAAUAUAAUGCCUUCUCUCUCCUGCGACCAGUCUCUAUAUCGCCGCCGUCCAAUUCAACUGUUUCCAAGGCGUUAUCUCUUACUAUUCUAUUACCGGACCGCCGGAACUCGGUGGUUCAGCGCCAGCACCGCCGAGUCAACUCGGACCGAGUUUACGGAAGAGAACGCCUACGAGCUCUUAGGUGUUUCGGAGACGAGCUCAUUCGCCGAAAUCAAAGCGUCGUUUCAUAAAUUGGCGAAACAGACUCACCCGGACCUCGUUCAGUCCGGUAACGAUUCCGACGUUUCUCGCCGAUUCGUUCAAAUCCUCGCCGCCUAUGAGAUUCUUUCGGAUUGCGAAAGGAGGGCGCAUUAUGACAGGGACCUGUUAUCUCAGCGAAAGCUUAUGCAGAAGCAAUCCGGGGGAGGUGGUGCAUUGCACUUGUAUAAAUUUCAUAGUACAUAUAGGGGGAUGGAAGUUGUUGAGUGGCUGAAAUGGUAUAGAAUUGCUAUAAGUGAUGUGUUGGCGGAGAGGAAGGUGGUUGUCGGAACAGGUUAUUUUGAUGGGCUUGAGAGAGAUUUUUAUUCAGCUAUACAUGCGGCAUUUUAUGGUCCUGAUAUUGAGUCUAUCGACUUUCUUCCCGACUGCUUUGAAGCUGAAGAGAGGUCUGUGUAUGAAACUCCGGAGGUGCUGCAUUUGGUUUCGGGGCGUGAUGUUUUUGGUAUGGUCUGCUUAGUAGAUAAAAUUCCAGAGCUGCCAUAUUAUAGCAAUAAGAGGUUAAAGUAUUCCACAUCAGCGGGUUUAGGUAUUUGCCAAUCUGGUGAGGAUUUGAGAAUCUCUAUGAGCUCGGGUGGUGUUUAUAAUGAUGGAUAUGCCCAUAUGCAAGCUGCGGAUGUCUCAACCCACACAUCUGAUCCUUAUAGAGAUUUAGAAUUGCAUAUAUCUGGAAGGGUGGUUGCUACAGCCACAAGAGUCCCUCCCAAAAGCUGUUGUGACCGGAUACAGAAUGAAGACACCGAUCACAUUCACGUUUUUCUGAGCUCUGAUGAUAAUCCUGUGCAUACCAGCAAAGGGUUUACUGAAGCUUCCUCUUCAGGCAGCGCUGUGGGAUCAAGGAUUCUAUUGGGAACUAUAACUGGAUUGCGGUCUAGCUCAGAAGAAGGGUCUUGCCUUGUCUACAAUAGCAGUGGUACCAAAACCCAUGUGAUUAUGAAGCAUAGAACACUUCUGGUGAAACACAUGCAUUGGUAUGGAUUGGGAGACAAUGUUUCUGUAUGUGAGUGUAGAUGCACAAGAGCACGAUUACCACCAAGCAAAUUUUGGUUGUUUGAGCCUCGUUGUGGCAUGCAUGACAUAGGCGGUUGGUAUGUUGAAACAUUUGGUAAAGAUAAGAAAGGUCGGUUAUCACCAUCACAGAGAUAUUGGGAUGGCUUUGAUGCAAGGGAACAAUCUGAGAAGAGACUCCAUCCUGCGAUGUACCUUCUUGCUAUGGGAUAUAGAACUUUAGAUCUUGAAGAUGCAAAAAGAAGGAAACAUACAUUCAGGGAUGUUGUCGACAGAAAGCUCUUUAAAAUACUCAAUUGGUGCAAAAGACGUGUUUAAGACCAACAGGUAUACUAGUUUGGAUGUGUAAGCUCUUGCAUGGAAAAGUCAUUUCAGAAAGCAUCAAGUUAUGCAAGAGUGAUAAAGAAUCUCCUGCUAUUAGUUUUCACCAUAGUAAAGAUUCCUGUUAGCAUGUGAUUGAAGAAACUGGUCUAGAGUAUGCAAAACAUGUUUGGGAGGGAUACCAGUUUGGCCUCUCUUACACUAAUUGGGUUCAGCUAAUAUAGCUCAGAAAGAUGAUCUUGGCGUAUGAUUGAAGUCAACUGUUUAGAGCUCACAAUUGGUGGUAGAAACUUUUUGGAAGGGGAUAUUGCUUCUGGCUUUACUCUACUUUGUCAAAUGAUCUGCCAUGGUAGAAUGCUUGAUAUUUGUGAUCGGAGGCUCUGGUUUUGUCUUCGUGCAAACAUCAGUUUUCAAGGUUGCAAGGACUCCAAGUAUGAUUUUCCAGAUCAUUUCUAUACUCCUAUUAGUGUUGAUGGAUAUGACAUCUAAUCCUGCCACCAAGAUUUUGUAAAAACUAUCAUUUGGCUAUUCAAGGAGCAUAGCUGCCAAGUUGCUUCUGCAGCCAUUUUUUUGAACACAUUUCUGGAAAUGCUGUUUUUCGCAUGGAGAGUGCCAUAUCAUAUAGAUCUCCAUCGAAGAGUCAAAUCUUUUUUCAGGUAGUUCAUUUGGCUGAAAGCAUUGAGGUGGUAGAAUUCAUGGGAGCACACCAAUGGCAGUUUGAUGUUGGCCCAGAUAGGAGUUGUUGGCAACGAGAUGUAGUGGUUCCGUUCUAGCAAAUUUGGUAACAUGCCUCUGGCAGAACAGGUAUCAUAAAUUACUUUCCCUUUGUUUCCACUCUCUUCAGCAUAUUCUUAUUGGUACAAUACUAUCUAUUUUAUUUCUCUACAUAAUCAAACAAUGAAACUUGAUGUGAUUAUGGUUCACUGAUACUUUUGCCUCAAUUUGCCACAAUAGGCAGUUUGUAGUUUUGGUUUUACUUCUUCCCAUCAGAUAUAUUUUUAAUUUGAUUUGUUCUUCUUUUUUCGUCUCUGCUUUUAGUAUGUAUGACAUUUACUCGAGAUUUGCAGUUUUGCACUGUUCCGAUCCCUGCUUAUCAUAUAAUACUCGAGGCACAGAAACAAUUUAACCUUGGUCAAUUAUUAGUCUCUGGUGUAGGCAGGAUAACUUUCCUCAUAAUCUAAAAUUUGAACUUUUGGCUAUAAAGGUAAUACAGCCAUAAUCAGCUAGCCUAUGAGAUUGUUUAAUUCCUUUCAUGAAUCCAUCAUUUUCUGGUUAUUCUAUUUGGCCUGCUACAGUAGACUACUUAAAUAAGAAGGUUAACUAUUCUGGUGGGAGUUGGAGGAUCAUCUUUGUUCCUGAUUUCCGUUCUAAAGGAACAACAGGGGAUUCACCGUCCUCUCCCUCAUUAAUACCUUUGCUCUCCAAGAAGAACAAAAAAUGAAUUGAACAGUGAACACAAUAAGAAAGAAUAUGGGAAAGGUGCUUACCUCAGGUGGUUUCACCCACAUUUGUCCAUCAUACCAUCCAGUCUCUUCAUAAGGUAUGACUGCUGAUAGUAGUCUAUCGCCAACGUAACUCCAUCCCUGAAAUAUUUGUAAUUCAUAUGGUUCUUGUUAGUUCUCAAUGUUAAACCUCCUAGAAGUGAUUGUAAGAUAGGGUAAGCUGGAAGAAACUACCAGAUAAAUUCUUAAGACGAUCAACGAUACAAGGAAAAGAGUUCCGGUUCCAGCUGCUAGAACAAAUCGUAGAGGAUCCUGCAAAGUUGGAAUGGAUGGAGAGUAAAGAAAAAUGAAAUAGUCAUGCGCUCUAAGAAUCGUUCUACCUAUUAUUGUGUCGUAACAUGUCAUUGAUUCCUAUGUGUUGUUUUGGUUUGCCAUUUGAGUAUAAUUCCAGUACAGGUUUUGCAAAACCUGUUCCUAAGACAUCCUUUCUGUCUAGUCUACUAUAUACAUGAUAUUUCUUUAUGUUUACAUAUUGUAUGUUUCAAUGUUGAUUUGGAAUCUUAGUCUUACCCUUGAUGGAUUAAAGCUUGCAGCUGCUAUGGGCGCUCCUAAAACUGUGAAUGUUACCAACCACAAACCUCCAAGACGAAGGAAAAAAGGCCCUGGUCCCAGAUCGCCCCACGAGUACAAGGUUCCUUCCUUCAAAGAUGAGUACUCAUUCACCUAUAAUUGAAGAUUGAAUCAAAUAACGGUUAGUACGAAAGUGUAAUGUCAUGUUGCAUAAAAGCCCUAAUAUGGGUGAAUCUAGUUAAAUUUGUUUCCCUUUUCCUUAUUAGUGUUUUGCUUUCGCUGAUAUCCGGGAUGCAGUAUAAGGGAUUUUCCUAUGUUUCCCUCAAAACCUAUCACCAUUUAAGAUUCAAUCACCUAGGGAUUCAAUUACCUUCAUAGAUUCAAUCGCAUCAUUUAAAGGGGGUUACAAGUGUACAACAGGCUAUAAGAGCAGUUUUGAAUGAUUUAUUCCCACAGAAUAUGAACAUUUCACUCAUUUUUGAUACAUAGUUGUCCUUAUGUUUCCUAUUUUUCAGAUUAAUAUAGAUUUGUUGUCCUGAAAGCCAUAUCACAUCUUCAUCAGGGGUAGUGAGCCACAACAACCGUUGCCAACUUCACCAAGGUAAGGAGUUAAGGACAACCUAUGCCUUCUAGAUUAUCAUUCGAGUGGAUAUAUUCCUCUGUUAUUUGUAUUGAAGGAGGAAAACACCCAGUGCUGCAUAAGUUUAUUGAGGAACUGAAAACAUACCGGUCUUUGUUCAAAAGGAACCUCAAUUUCUGACCCAGGCUCCCAGCUCUGACCCCGAAAUCCGCUUGUUCCCCCUCCCGUCCCAUCAUUCACGGCCUUGACAGAAAUCCCCUUGGGUAGUCUUUGAGCGCUACGCUGCUGGAUCUGCCAUGACCCUAAACUUCUGCUGCCGACAUUUACCAACUUGACUUGUCGGGGACUAGAAAGUAGAGAGCAAUACACAUCUACCCGGAGCAUCUAUUUCCUAGAAGUUUUGAACUGAACCUUGAGCUGCUGAAAGUAAGAUAAACUUUCUUCGUUCAAUUGGUUGUGAAAUGAGGAAGGACCUUGUUGAGCUGAAAGGGAUGAUUGUGUUUUCUCAGGGACCAUGCAUUAUUUACGUGGAGGAAAACAUCUGAUUCAGAAUCAUAUUUAGGAACUCCAAUGUGUGAUAAGUACCGACUGGUGUUGCAUGGUGGGCCCGCUUAGGACAUGUGUGCAAGCCUUUCUUUUGUGUCUUCUAUUUUGGACCGUCAAUUAUCUGGGCUUGCAAGCAACAUUAUCCAAACAUCUGGGGCUUCUGGAAAACCAGUUUUUCGUGUCUGACACUAUGUCAAUUGUGCGAAACUGUUACCUUCCACGCAGCUCUCUGUGUAUUCCUCAUGCUUUGAAGGGGCUAAGGUUCGACCCGAGAACCCGACCCGACCCGACCCGACCCGACCCGACCCGACCCGACCAGACCCGACCAGACCAGUCGGAUUAGAGUGAAACAGUCAUGGCUAAAGUUGUCAAUGGAGAUGUGGCAAAGAAUCUGUGCAAUGUGACCCUCAGAUCUUCAUGUAUAUUUCUUGUCCGGCAUAUUACUCUUUGCCGUACUCUUCCAACAUGAAAGAUGAUGCUUUACCCUUUUCCAGUACAGAUGACAAAAGGUCUGAGAUACCACCAUCAAUUCAAGCGCAUUAGUCAAGAGUGGUAGUUGUGACGUGAAAGUUUUCAAAAGCAAACUUACAGUGCGCGCAUAUAGCUCAAAACAUCACAGAUUAGUAUUCUUUUCGUAUAAUCUUUUUGGUUUAACAACUAUGUAAAAGAAUACAACUAUUUCGACAUCAUUUUUCGUAAACUUUUCCUGGGUCCA